rnacentral:rRNA from 1 species
GGGGGAUUCAGUGUUUUAAUCUACCCAAACCCAAUGUGAACGUUACCAAACUGUUGCCUCGGCGGGGUCACGCCCCGGGUGCGUCGCAGCCCCGGAACCAGGCGCCCGCCGGAGGAACCAACCAAACUCUUUCUGUAGUCCCCUCGCGGACGUAUUUCUUACAGCUCUGAGCAAAAAUUCAAAAUGAAUCAAAACUUUCAACAACGGAUCUCUUGGUUCUGGCAUCGAUGAAGAACGCAGCGAAAUGCGAUAAGUAAUGUGAAUUGCAGAAUUCAUUGAAUCAUCGAAUCUUUGAACGCACAUUGCGCCCGCCAGUAUUCUGGCGGGCAUGCCUGUCCGAGCGUCAUUUCAACCCUCGAACCCCUCCGGGGGAUCGGCGUUGGGGAUCGGGACCCCUCACACGGGUGCCGGCCCCGAAAUACAGUGGCGGUCUCGCCGCAGCCUCUCCUGCGCAGUAGUUUGCACAACUCGCACCGGGAGCGCGGCGCGUCCACGUCCGUAAAACACCCAACUUUCUGAAAUGUUGACCUCGGAUCAGGUAGGAAUACCCGCUGAACUUAAGCAUAUCAAUAAGAGGGAGGAA